rnacentral:rRNA from 1 species
GACGAACGCUGGCGGCGUGCCUAAUACAUGCAAGUCGAACGCACAGUUUAUACCGUAGCUUGCUACACCAUAGACUGUGAGUUGCGAACGGGUGAGUAACGCGUAGGUAACCUGCCUGGUAGCGGGGGAUAACUAUUGGAAACGAUAGCUAAUACCGCAUAAUAUUAAUUAUUGCAUGAUAAUUAAUUGAAAGGUGCAAUUGCACCACUACCAGAUGGACCUGCGUUGUAUUAGCUAGUAGGUGAGGUAACGGCUCACCUAGGCGACGAUACAUAGCCGACCUGAGAGGGUGAUCGGCCACACUGGGACUGAGACACGGCCCAGACUCCUACGGGAGGCAGCAGUAGGGAAUCUUCGGCAAUGGACGAAAGUCUGACCGAGCAACGCCGCGUGAGUGAAGAAGGGUGUCGGAUCGUAAAGCUCUGUUGUAAGAGAAGAACGGGUGUGAGAGUGGAAAGUUCACACUGUGACGGUAGCUUACCAGAAAGGGACGGCUAACUACGUG